GUACCAAUAGCCAAACUGUUCAAGGCAUCGCCGAUUAUAGGCGAGGAUGCGGGUUCAAGUCCCGCUGGAACU
rnacentral:tRNA from 1 species